rnacentral:lncRNA from 1 species
UUUUCUUCACCCAUGGUCAGGGAGGCGCCAUCGCCCUGGCUUUGGGGCUGGGGCCUCCGGGGAGGUUCCGGUAGGGGCGUUGGAGAGGCCGCUCUUUUUGCAAGGCCCGAGAUGGCGGGCCCUGCGCAGGCCGCCCUAUUCCGCGCCCUCAGGGCGUCAGUAUCCGCCUGAGGCCGGAUACCCACUCUGGGCUCGGAUACCCGCGCUGGGCCCGGAGCAUCCUCGGCGCUGCCCUCCCAGAGCCCCGCAGAGGCUGAGGUGGCGCGGGGGCGGCCCCGGCUCCGCGAGAAGAGGCGGCAGCGAGGGCUGGAGGACCCGGGCUACGGGGCUCCGGGGCGUCUGGCCUGGGUGGGACUGAGCCCAUCCAGGGACUGGGACUCCGGGGUUCUGGUGUAGGUGGAUCCCGGGCAGGCUCAGGACCAAGACCCUCUCCUUCCACCAAGGAGCGCCCAGAGGCCGGCGGGAGCUCCAGGUUCACCUCCUCCUCCUCCAGGGUUAUUUCAAGUCCCAAAAGCAAGGAUGAACAUCUAGAACGAGAAGAAAAACAAUCUGGAGGUUAGUAUGUGCACACCUGUGGACUCCUGUGUUAACUUCUGGUGUUUCAGCCUAAGAGGGAAUGUUAAUAUAACCCUGGUCCUAGAACACCAUGCUGACCAACACCUACCAGCUUUCAGGAGAUAAGACAGCUGGCUGAUGGGGCAGGGAUCCAGAGAAGGCACGGGUCCACACCUGCACAUGUUGCCCAGUGGCAGAGUUCAUGACAAGCAAUAAGCCCCAGGACAAUGUCAUUCCCAGCUACCUGGCUGUCAUCUGCUCUUUCAUGGCCCCUCUCUACUGGUACCUCUAGGCACUGGCAUGUCCUCCAGAGGCUGCAGGAGGGCAUGAUACUCAGUACUCUCCCAACUGCAGGAGGGAAGAAAGAUGGAAACAGCUAAAUACCAUGGCUUCUGGAUUUUUUUUGCUGGGCAUGGCAUAUUUUGCAUUUGCUUUAAUAAUGCUGGAACCCAGUCAGUGGCUUGCAAUACAGAUCUAGAUGACUCUGGACACCUGUAGAGAUUUUGACAAUUUCCAGAAGGUCACAAGUUCUUGGAGGACUUUUUCAUGAGUUCUUCGACUGAAAAGGUGGUUCAAAGAGCUUCUAUACUGACUUAGAAAAUGUUGCAGAGGCCAGGUGCGGUGGCUUAUGCCUGUAAUCCCAGCACUUUGGGAGGCCAAGGCAGGCGGAUCAUGAGGUCAGGAGUUUGAGACCAGUCUGACUAACAUGGUGAAACCCCCUCUCUACUAAAAAUACAAAAAUUAGCCGGGCAUGGUGACACACACCUGUAAUCCCAGCUACUCAGGAGGCUGAGGCAGGAGAAUCGCUUGAACCUGGGAAUCGGAGGUUGCAGCGAGCCAAGAUCAGGAUUCCAGCCUGAGCGACGGAGCGAGACUCUAUCUCAAAAAAUAAAUAAAUAAAUAAAUAAAUAAA